rnacentral:lncRNA from 1 species
UCCAGCAGAAAUAGCGUAAAUAAUUAUCUAAACAUAAGAAACAUAAAUAAAAUAGCAUGCAAUUAUAUCAUACAGUAACUACCAUAAAUAACAACCAUAAGGGAGACACAAGCAGAAACACAAAUCAUCUAUGGAUAGCCCUGCCAAGCCUCACCCAAACCCGAGUGAGGAGUACGAAAAACUCUAGGAGCCCCUAUCCUACAACCCUGAUACUAG